AUACCGUUCGCAGCCUUUUGGCUAAGAUCAAGUGUAGUAUCUGUUCUUAUCAGUGUAAUAUCUGAUCCGUGGAUCAUAGAUUCACAGGAUAUUAAAUUAAUUUUUCUUAGCGGGAGGGCCCACUACAGUAGAUUGCUAUUGGGGUCCUUAAGGAUCGUCCAUGUGUUAUGCUACUAUACGGAUCUGGCGCACCUCUA